rnacentral:rRNA from 1 species
AUUGAACGCUGGCGGCAUGCCUAACACAUGCAAGUCGAACGGGGUAGGGGCAACUCUACUUCAGUGGCGGACGGGUGAGGAAUGCGUCGGAAUCUACCCUAUGGUGGGGGAUAACACAGGGAAACUUGUGCUAAUACCGCAUGAUGUCGAGAGACCAAAGCAGGGGACCGCAAGGCCUUGCGCGAUAGGAUGAGCCGACGCCCGAUUAGCUAGUUGGUAGGGUAAAGGCCUACCAAGGCGACGAUCGGUAGCUGGUCUGAGAGGAUGAUCAGCCACACUGGGACUGAGACACGGCCCAGACUCCUACGGGAGGCAGCAGUGGGGAAUAUUGGACAAUGGGCGCAAGCCUGAUCCAGCAAUGCCGCGUGUGUGAAGAAGGCCUGCGGGUUGUAAAGCACUUUUGUUCGGGAAGAAACGGAAUCGGUUAAUACCCGGUUCGGAUGACGGUACCGAAAGAAUAAGCACCGGCUAACUUCGUGCCAGCAGCCGCGGUAA